CGAACGCUGGCGGCGUGCUUAACACAUGCAAGUCGAACGAAGAGCGAUGGAAGCUUGCUUCUAUCAAUCUUAGUGGCGAACGGGUGAGUAACGCGUAAUCAACCUGCCCUUCAGAGGGGGACAACAGUUGGAAAAGACUGCUAAUACCGCAUACGAUCUAAUCUCGGCAUCGAGGAUAGAUGAAAGGUGGCCUCUACAUGUAAGCUAUCACUGAAGGAGGGGAUUGCGUCUGAUUAGCUAGUUGGAGGGGUAACGGCCCACCAAGGCGAUGAUCAGUAGCCGGUCUGAGAGGAUGAACGGCCACAUUGGGACUGAGACACGGCCCAGACUCCUACGGGAGGCAGCAGUGGGGAAUCUUCCGCAAUGGACGAAAGUCUGACGGAGCAACGCCGCGUGAGUGAUGACGGCCUUCGGGUUGUAAAGCUCUGUUAAUCGGGACGAAAGGCCUUCUUGCGAACAGUUAGAAGGAUUGACGGUACCGGAAUAGAAAGCCACGGCUAACUACGUG
rnacentral:rRNA from 1 species